GUUUUUGCUGGGGAGCUCUGGUAAGCAAGAAAGUUCAGUCUAUGAGAGUGGAUAUUCAGGGGUCUUCAAGGUUCAUACGGCUCUUGUGAGUUAAUGGAUGUGGAUCUGUCCAACUUUCUCAACUGCUUCCCGGACACUUUUAAAAAGGCUCAGGGCACAGUAUGUGUGAUUUCUAUUUUCUUGUAACCUUUGCUUUUUGUUUUUUUUUGCAGAACACAUUUUCCAGACUUUUUUUUUCUUUUUUCUUUUUAUUUUCUUUAAACCUAAUCUCGCAUGUCAUUUUUAUUAUUGUUUAUCUGUCUUCUCCAUCUGCUUUCUAAAGGAUGAAGGAAUUAUCUUGAUACCCUGCAGCAAAAGAUAUUUGCAUCUUGGAACAUAUCACCUUAAGAUACAAAAUAUCAGGCAUCCCCACUUAACCUUGAUAUUUAAAAAAAAAAAAAAAUUAUCCUGUCUUUCCAUCUACCUAUCAAGUCUGUCAGAAUCUUUAGAGUCUCUUUUCACGUGUGAAUGUACAGCUUUGUGAAGAAGAAAAAAAAAGUAAUUUUAAUUUAAUCCUGUGACAAGGGUAUUGCAAGGAAAGGGUUAAACUUGUAUCUGUCCUAUACAUUUUAUACGACAUUAAACGAUUUUAGAAUGUUGUAAAGCAUAGAGGAUUGACAGAAGAGAGUUUUAAAAUGCAGUUAUAUUUAUUUAAGAAAGAUACUUAUAAAGAGAAGAAUUAAGAAUGAUUUGCUUUUCAGACUAAUGUCUGGCUGACUAGG